rnacentral:rRNA from 1 species
GAUCAUGGCUCAGGAUGAACGCUAGCGACAGGCUUAACACAUGCAAGUCGGAGGGGCAUCAUGAGGUAGCAAUACCUUGAUGGCGACCGGCGCACGGGUGAGUAACGCGUAUGCAACCUGCCCGAUACCGGGGUAUAGCCCAUGGAAACGUGGAUUAACACCCCAUAGUACUUUUAUCCUGCCUGGGAUGGAGUAAAUGUUCUAAGGUAUCGGAUGGGGCGAUGCGUCCUAUUAGUUAGUUGGG